rnacentral:rRNA from 1 species
GACGAACGCUGGCGGCGUGCCUAAUACAUGCAAGUAGAACGCACAGUUUAUACCGUAGCUUGCUACACCAUAAACUGUGAGUUGCGAACGGGUGAGUAACGCGUAGGUAACCUGCCUGGUAGCGGGGGAUAACUAUUGGAAACGAUAGCUAAUACCGCAUAAUAUUGAUUAUUGCAUGAUAAUUGAUUGAAAGAUGCUAUAGCAUCACUACCAGAUGGACCUGCGUUGUAUUAGCUAGUAGGUGAGGUAACGGCUCACCUAGGCGACGAUACAUAGCCGACCUGAGAGGGUGAUCGGCCACACUGGGACUGAGACACGGCCCAGACUCCUACGGGAGGCAGCAGUAGGGAAUCUUCGGCAAUGGACGAAAGUCUGACCGAGCAACGCCGCGUGAGUGAAGAAGGUUUUCGGAUCGUAAAGCUCUGUUGUAAGAGAAGAACGGGUGUGAGAGUGGAAAGUUCACACUGUGACGGUAUCUUACCAGAAAGGGACGGCUAACUACGUG